rnacentral:rRNA from 1 species
GAUGAACGCUGGCGGCGUGCCUAAUACAUGCAAGUCGAGCGAACGGACGAGAAGCUUGCUUCUCUGAUGUUAGCGGCGGACGGGUGAGUAACACGUGGAUAACCUACCUAUAAGACUGGGAUAACUUCGGGAAACCGGAGCUAAUACCGGAUAAUAUUUUGAACCGCAUGGUUCAAAAGUGAAAGACGGUCUUGCUGUCACUUAUAGAUGGAUCCGCGCUGCAUUAGCUAGUUGGUAAGGUAACGGCUUACCAAGGCAACGAUGCAUAGCCGACCUGAGAGGGUGAUCGGCCACACUGGAACUGAGACACGGUCCAGACUCCUACGGGAGGCAGCAGUAGGGAAUCUUCCGCAAUGGGCGAAAGCCUGACGGAGCAACGCCGCGUGAGUGACGAAGGUCUUCGGAUCGUAAAACUCUGUUAUUAGGGAAGAACAUAUGUGUAAGUAACUGUGCACAUCUUGACGGUACCUAAUCAGAAAGCCACGGCUAACUACGUGCCAGCAGCCGCGGUAAUACGUAGGUGGCAAGCGUUAUCCGGAAUUAUUGGGCGUAAAGCGCGCGUAGGCGGUUUUUUAAGUCUGAUGUGAAAGCCCACGGCUCAACCGUGGAGGGUCAUUGGAAACUGGAAAACUUGAGUGCAGAAGAGGAAAGUGGAAUUCCAUGUGUAGCGGUGAAAUGCGCAGAGAUAUGGAGGAACACCAGUGGCGAAGGCGACUUUCUGGUCUGUAACUGACGCUGAUGUGCGAAAGCGUGGGGAUCAAACAGGAUUAGAUACCCUGGUAGUCCACGCCGUAAACGAUGAGUGCUAAGUGUUAGGGGGUUUCCGCCCCUUAGUGCUGCAGCUAACGCAUUAAGCACUCCGCCUGGGGAGUACGACCGCAAGGUUGAAACUCAAAGGAAUUGACGGGGACCCGCACAAGCGGUGGAGCAUGUGGUUUAAUUCGAAGCAACGCGAAGAACCUUACCAAAUCUUGACAUCCUUUGACAACUCUAGAGAUAGAGCUUUCCCCUUCGGGGGACAAAGUGACAGGUGGUGCAUGGUUGUCGUCAGCUCGUGUCGUGAGAUGUUGGGUUAAGUCCCGCAACGAGCGCAACCCUUAAGCUUAGUUGCCAUCAUUAAGUUGGGCACUCUAAGUUGACUGCCGGUGACAAACCGGAGGAAGGUGGGGAUGACGUCAAAUCAUCAUGCCCCUUAUGAUUUGGGCUACACACGUGCUACAAUGGACAAUACAAAGGGCAGCGAAACCGCGAGGUCAAGCAAAUCCCAUAAAGUUGUUCUCAGUUCGGAUUGUAGUCUGCAACUCGACUACAUGAAGCUGGAAUCGCUAGUAAUCGUAGAUCAGCAUGCUACGGUGAAUACGUUCCCGGGUCU